GCCUGGAUAGCUCAGUUGGUUAGAGCAUGGUGCUGAUAAUGCCAAGGUUGCAGGUUGGAUCCCCAUGUUGUUGUGGUU